AUAUAAUUUAUUUAAUCAUCAUAACUUAACACUACCAAUAAAUACUAAACAAAACAUAUACAACACUUUAUGCCCACAUAUGAACUACAGAAAGAGUUUGUACAAAGACAGGUCUGGUAUGACAAAUUUGUACAGACAGAUAGGUCUGGUAUGACAAAUUUGUACAUACGGAUAGGUCUGGUAUGACAAAUUUGUACAGACAGAUAGGUCUGGUAUGACAAAUUUGUACUGACAGAUAGGUCUGGUAUGACAAAUUUGUACAGACAGAUAGGUCUGGUAUGACAAAUUUGUACAGACAGAUAGGUCUGGUAUGAUAAAUUUGUACAUACAGAUAGGUCUGGUAUGACUAAUGUGUACAUACAGAUAGGUCUGGUAUGACAAAUGUGUACAUACAGAUAGGUCUGGUAUGACAAAUUUAAAAAUUAUAAAAUUUAUAAUAAAUUCAUACUGACAAGCAAAUAGCACCUUUUCAUAAAUAUCAAUUUUGAUACAGUGUAUGCUGAUUAUACUUUAAAACUUCAUCAUACAGCCAUUUUGUCAUUCUAGAACUAGCCAAUGAUGCUGGGAGACAAAAGUGUUGAGAGUCAAUAAGAAGCCUAAUGGGCCUGCAUCACUUACCAGGAUAUUUUGAUUAUCAUCGGAAAACACUAGAAGCCAUUUAAAGAAAUGACCUCUACUUCCUCUUUUAGGCCCCUCACCUCUGGUCCCUAGGGGUCCUGCAUUACCAUAUACAUGUACUGGUAUGCAAAAUUUGUUACCUUGCCCCAAGAAAGCUUCUGAAUAAAUUCUGUCAAAAUCCUUUCAGGUGUUCAUGACAAGCAGCGAUUAAAAAAAAACUUUUAAAAACACCAUUGUUGCGUGGCAUAAGCUUACUGGUCCUUUGGACCAGGUGAACUUAAAAUGGCUGAAAGAAUGUUGCAUUUACCUCAUUAAUUAUAUAUAUAAUGAUUCAUAAAAGUUGAUAUUCUUAUAUUUUUCUAUAGAAAACAAGUAGCUCUGAAAUUUUGAACAAAGUGUUCAAGGUAAUAACAAUGAAAUAUAACACUUGAAUUCAAAUAUUUCGUACAGAAUAAAAUAUUAAUAUGGUAAUGUGAAAUUGUAUCAAAAUUCAUACAAAGUAAACAAAGUUCCUAAAUGAUAUCCUGACACCUUUGCAGUUAAUGAAGUGCAUUUGUAUAAAUGUCAUUUAUUUUAAAUUGCUGCUGUAGCAUGAGCAGGUCUUGUUUGGAUAGAACAGAACCCUUUAUGUCCACAACCAAAUGUCAAAGGCCUUUGACCUCUACAAUGACCUUCGGACAAGAGGCUGGAAAACUGGAUCUUAAUUUGCAAUUUUGAGAUGAUAAAAAGGUAUGAAUUUGUUUCUAAUUAUCUUUGUUUUCUAAACCUAAGGUAUUUGUAAUUUAAAAUUUGAUGAGAGACCUCAAGUGUUUUAUAUAUUGAAUACAAAGAAUUAUAAAAAUAUCAGAAAAUAUAGUUUCACCAAUAAGCUGAAAAAUUAAACAUGCUCAAAUUUCAAGUUUACAGUGAACGCUGUACCAGGUGGAUACGUUGUCCCCAUAAAAACACUACCAAACCUUAUAGGACUAGCAUACACCUACAACUAUUAAAAUGCAUGAUAAUUAAGGACGGAAUACAAAAAACUACCAUGUUUACCAUGCAAUAAGCCCUUGGACCAAUAUAUACCCUCUGUCUCAAUGUCAAGGGCCAAUACAUACCCUCUGUCUUAGUCAGGGGGCCAAUACAUCACCCCUGUCUCAGUCAGGGGGCCAAUACAUCACCCCUGUCUCAGUCAGGGGGCCAAUACAUCACCCCUGUCUUAGUCAGGGGGCCAAUACAUCACCCCUGUCUCAGUCAGGGGGCCAAUACAUCACCCCUGUCUUAGUCAGGGGGCCAAUACAUCACCCCUGUCUCAGUCAGGGGGCCAAUACAUCACUCCUGUCUCAGUCAGGGGGAAAAUACAUAACCCCUGUCUCAGUCAGGGGGCCAAUACAUCACCCCUGUCUUAGUCAGGGGGCCAAUACAUCACCCCUGUCUCAGUCAGGGGCCAAUACAUCACCCCUGUCUCAGUCAGGGGGCCAAUACAUCACCCCUGUCUCAGUCAGGGGGCCAAUACAUCACCCCUGUCUCAGUCAGGGGGCCAAUACAUCACUCCUGUCUCAGUCAGGGGCCAAUACAUCACCCCUGUCUCAGUCAGGGGGCAAAUACAUCACCCCUGUCUCAGUCAGGGGGCCAAUACAUCACCCCUGUCUCAGUCAGGGGGCCAAUACAUCACCCCUGUCUCAGUCAGGGGGCCAAUACAUCACCCCUGUCUCAGUCAGGGGG